CUCUUUUUCUCUGCCUUUCCCUUUCAGCCCCUCAUUUCAGUCUGCAGGCAUCCUCCUCUGAGGUCACAGCAGCUGCAGAAAAGGUAAAAUUGAAAGCAAUGGAAAUGUAGGAUUCUUCAGAUGAACACUUGAUUUUAAAGAUUCUGAUGCAUGUUCACUUAUAUGUGUGCGUUUGAGUGUGUGUGUGUGUGUGUGUGUGUGUGUGUGUGUGUGUGUGUGUGUGUGUGUGUGUGUGUGUGUGUGUGUGUAUGACUAAGUGAGGAAGAGCGUAUUAUAAGAAGAGACGGAUACAGAAGCAGGCAGAUUGCCAUCUGGUCCUGUUGAAAAUCAGUCAAACCAAAUGCAGAUUGUUGAUCUGUAAACUGAUAUAAUCUGGUAAAGAGAUUUCAUGACCUGCUUUAAAGUCCAUUUCUAAGAGGCCUUGAGUACGCCUUGAUGUGUGUUUGGUUAGCUUAGUCACAGUUUGAAGCAACUAUUUUUGCAACAACUUUAAACUGUUUUAAAGACACAAUAUGAUAUUUUACUCACAAACGUAUUACUUAAAAUGAGAAAAUCUCUCAGAAGAUAACUGCUGCUUUCAUAUUCAGCCUUUUAUUUUUCAGAUGGAUAAUUUACACGUUUAAUUUACCUGAAGAUCCAAAGUCCAAAAUGACAAAUACAAUAACUAUUUUUAUUUUGUAAUUUUAAUGCUGGAACGGUGUCAAAGGAGCAGCCAAAGAAACCGCCCUAUUUUUGCAUUUUCCACAUAAAAUAUUCACAGUAUUAUUUAUGUGUAGAUGAAAGAUUAGCAAAGACUGCUUUGUUGACAGGGAGUGCAAGAUUGACUAACUGGAAGUUCCUCUCUGGAAUGCCCAAUCUGCCAAAUACGGGUGAUAGUCAUCUGCAUAAAACACUGAAUGUUAGAUCAUUGUAGCCUUUAGUGUGUCAUAGUGAAGGACAAUCAAGGCCAAUCGAAAUGUGGUCAAAUUCUGAAGAGCUUUGGUAACAACAUCCCUGCCUUAGAUCUGCCACAACAGGCUGAAUAAAGAGAAAUGUUGGCAAGACAUGGCAGAUGCUCCUCAGUACCCUGAUAACUGUUGUUAGCAUUAGUAAGGACUUAUCUGAGCAUUGUUUAACCCAGCCCCUCUUUUUUCCAGCGUCUUAACAUUUGUUGUGAUGAUCAGUCAGUUACCAUCAUUCAGUGUUUUAUAUCUGCCAAUCAAGUCAUGGCAUGAAUUUAUGGCUUUGUAAUUGCCUGAUUUGACACAGAAACCAAUGUCACAGACAAAAACCUUGCGCAGUCUGACCUUCCCGUUAACAAUGACAAUAAAUGUGUAUUUUGAUUUGCAAAAGUCAGUCCCACAGCUCCACUUAGCACAACAUGUCAGUGCCUGUCCUUCAGAAGUUUCAAGGAUUGUUCGAAGGAUUUAUCCAUAAUGACUGUCUUCGACUGACUCAAGCUCUUGAGUGACUCAGCUUGGUUAAACUUCACCGCUGUUGUAUAUCAAAUAAAGCAAAACAUAUUUAAUUGUCUAAACAGGUCACACAUAAAAUCAUAUCAUUUUCAGUGCUCUGAGCAUUGGAAAUGGGUUUCAUUCACAUCCAUUACAUAUUGCAAAUGCAACCAAAACUCUUAAUUGCUAAACACCUCUUCAGUUAAGAGAGGAAAUAAAAAAGUUAAAUCCUUUACCUUAAGCUGUUCUGCCUGACAAAAACAUUGUUUAACUGAGCGUAAUGCGGCAACUUCUACAAAUCUGGUAUUCCAAGCAGGUGGAAAAAGGAAUGACAAAUAGGAGUGCCAUGAGAGCCAAGUGGAGCCAGGACCUAAGAUAGUGCAAACAAUACCCUAAGCAAGGUUAAAUUGCCAACAUACUGCACAGAACAUAAUGUAUAGUUUAAGAUAAGAGAGAUAUGAAGGAAAAUACCAGCAAGGGGAGAAUAAUGCAGCUCUGAAAGAUUAAACAGACAAUAAUUGGUCAAAAACCGGUUCGGAAGAAUGUGGGGAAAAUCUUAUCACAGCACAGAAUACUGUGGAACCGAUGAUGUUCACAGUUACAGCUAAGUUUAGUUAUGCAAGAAGAGAAACAGUUUGAUUGGCACUUCCACCGACUCAGCAACAUCUAUUUUAGUGAUACUGUGUGAGUGUGGGUGCAUGUGUGCGUACACAUUCCCAUAUUCUCAGCCAGCACAAGGUGCCCUUGAUUGAGUAAUCGUUUUGUACCACGGUUAUGUGUGUGUGUGUGUGUGUGUGUGUGUGUGUGUGUGUGUGUGUGUGUGUGUGUGUGUGUGUGUGUGUGUGUGUGUGUGUGUGUGUGUGUGUGUGUGUGUGUGUGUGUGUGUGCAUUUAUUCCCUGCCACCAUCUGUCCUCUAUAGGCUGUUGAUCAUCCAUCUCCCCAUUAACUGUCAAUCACUCUGUUCCCUGUCGACUUCUCUGCUCUCGCUAUCUCAGCUGCAAAGCUUUAACACCCCACCAUUACAGAGAAACGAUGCAUCGCAACAUAUUAAGUCUGAUCCCUGUAGUCGACCAAUUUUGUGAUACUGUAUCUUCAUGUGAUUAUACCCAAAAUGAUUGGAUCAAAAAUAACUUGUCAUUUCAGUGUUUGAGGCCAAGCAUGAGAACUGAAGAUUUGUUUGAGUAAAGUUGCAGAAAAAAAGUUUUUUAGGUCUUUUUGACAUUGAGGGGGGGACGAUAGUGAGCUGACUCUUUACUGGUUGGUAUGUCAAAGUAUCAUCUGCAAAAGGAUGAACUCUUUAAGGUGUUUACUACAAUAAUUCCCCCCCCAAAAAAAGUACUUGUAAGGAAAAACAUUGUGGUCCUUGCAGCAAUCCUUGUGGAACUUCAUAACUAACUUUAGUUUGGGUUAACAAUUAAACAGUCAAGGUCAGUGUUACAGUCUAAAAUUUAGGAUACGUUUUGAACCAAUUUUUAAAUGAACUGAAAUUUUGUUAUAAUAAAUAAAUGUCAGGGUAAUAAAUACUCGUAUUUUAAAUGAAUGGUUCAUCUAAGGUCAUGAAAUGAUCAGAGGUCAAAUCCUGUGUGAAUGGAGCUAAAGUCUUAUAAAUUUCUCACCAAAGAAGAAAGACUUUGACUUUGUAUGUGCUUGUACUUAAGCUGCAGAGCUUUGAGUGUGAGAGUGGAAGGAUCCCCAGACACUCAUGUGGUUGAUGAAUAUCUGACAAACUCUGAAAUCCGACAAUGCUCAUUUACCGACAGUGGUGAGUGACUGGCUCCCUUGCUGGUAAGGGAGUGAUGAAAUCCAAAUGUCCAAAUUUUCAUAUAGAUGAUUUUGAUAAGUAUAAAACAGUUACUCAAGCAAAAAUAUAAAAUGAAACUUAAAAUUCACUGAUAGUCUUUGGGUUUGAAAAUGUAAUCAUCUUGUGACAAGAGAAAAUUUUCUAAUGAAAUCCGGUCUCAACAUGUACCAUGAAGAAGAUCCAUAAUUAGACGGUGGAAAAAAACUGAUUUUCAACUUUGCUGUUGAAAAUCUUCUCAACAGCAAACACAGAAGCCUUUUUCAAUUUUAUUUAACAUUAAAUUUUUUUUUGUUUUUAUGUCUUUAUUUGGAGAGUAUAGGACAGGGACUACAGCAAGAAACAGUGUGGGGAAUGGGGAAAGUGCCACAGGCUAAACAAGAACCCACUUGAGGACUAUAGCCACUGUCCAUUGGGCCCACAACUUCACAACUUGGCCAAACCAGCACCCCACUGGGCUUACCUAACACAAUCAACUUUAUUUAGCUCUGUCUCUUCCUCUCUCAGUCUCCUCUAUUCCCCCACUUUCUCCCCCCUGAAAAAAUUAUAUUUGGUUCUUGUAAAAUAUUCAUGUCUCUGUCACAGCGCUGGAACCAUGAAUCAUACAUCUGAAAAACUGGGGGAAUCGAGAGAGGGAAAGGGAAGAGAAGGAAUGAGAUGGAUACAAAUGUAAUAACGGAAGGAGAUAGUGAGCAAGGGAUGGGAAGAGGGAGGAGAAGAGGACAUGUCAUAUAUUAGGAGCCAGAGGUGUAAAGGGCAGAGAGAGAGAAAAGCAGAUGGAUGACUGGAAAGCAAGGUUAUAGGGAGAAGGACAGGUUAUGAAUGUUACAGUUGUUAAUAAGAUAAGAGAAGCAGUAGGGGUUGAGGAUGGGGGAAGAGAAUUGGAGAAGGAUGGGAAACAUGCUUUCAAAUGAGAGCAGCACAAACAUUGUGAUGUGAACUGAAAUGAACCAGGACAAAAACAAUUUGUGAAAAAAAUCAGUCCUGGUUGACUCCCUGAAAUUGGAUGUUUUUCGAGGUAUGAGCUCCUAAUUUUUGAGAGAAAAAAUAGAGGAAGCACAGACUCCAUUAGUUAUCAAAUACUACCGGCAAAUUGUAUUGGACUCUAUCUAAUAAUUACUAAGACCCUGUGAAUUUCCCAUUAAUGGAAGGUACCAUUCACUGUGUACAUAAUGGAUACUGUUAAAGACUUGGGUAAUAUCUGGAAGCACUAUGGUCAGUGGCAACAAGAGCUAUGUUUCAGGAUUGUUAUUCUUUAGAUGUGUGAGUGAGUUUUUGUCUCUGCAUGUAAUCCAGAGAAACAAUCCAGAUGUAAUCACAGUGAAACUUGGUGGCAUCUAAGGCUUUAUUUUUUUUAGCAGGUGUCAUAAAGCAUGGCUGUGAUGGUGCCCUCAUCUUCUGGCAUCCCUAGAUCAGCCACAUACCCAGCGCUUUGUCAUAAUGCUAGGAGACAAGUGAAGUGGGUGCAAAUGCUAUUUACACAACAUUGGAGCUUGAUGUGGAAUUGACCAUUGCAUAAGGUAGACAAAAGAAAUAUCAGUCUACCAAACAAAAAGGUUUACAUUGAGUAUACAACAGGGCCCACAGUGGUCUGUAUGUGCAAUUUCAGUGGCACAAUGGAGGGACGUAAGUUAGGAGUUACAAGUAGAAAGUUUUACAUUGACUGUGUAAAUAGUAACACCCCUGAUUGCAGGUGCAUUUAACACUUGGUUUCAUUAUUGUUUCAUUUUUGUUACUAUUUUUUUUUACCCAAAACACUCCUCCAAAUAACCAAGAGACUUGAUCCAUUCUGGCUAUGUACAGUACUACACCUCAUGUUGCACCCAGUUUGUGCACUGCUUAACUAGCAACAAGAGUAUUGUAUGUUUUGUAUGUCUGUACCUUUGUUAAAAGGCACCGUAUCUUGGCCAAGAAACCAUUUUCAAAGGGAGACUGUUUAUCUCAAUUAAAUUUUUCAAUCAAAAUUAAAUUUAAACUACUUAAAUACCAACAGAAUUAUUUUCGAGGUUAACACUGACCCAAUUCAUAAAAUAUAUAUAUAUUGAUAUUUUUGUUCAUGGGGUCCAAUUACUGGGAUGGGCCCAGCCCCCUUGAAUCUGCUCUUAGCCCUGGGCCAGCAUAGACAUAUUUACAGUAGCAGAGAAGUUUUUUAGUUUUUUUUCCAAACACGGAUCAUCACAUUUACAGUCGGUAUAGUGGGACUUGAAUACUUCCAUGAGAGGUUUUCAAAAGGAACAACACUUCUCUGUUGAUAUUAAAAGAAUGAGCAGAAACAUGUGAUUUUAACUCCUGUCCAAAAAUGACAACAAAAAAAGAAAGAGGGUAAAUCUUUCCAUCAGGAGCUGGAGGAUUAUUGUUCAGCUAGAUAAGUGAGUGAAUCCAUGGUGCUAAUAAGUACUUUCCCAAACUGAUCAGGAGGAUGUCUAGAUAAUUCUACCACAUUACGUACAAUAGAGAUAUAGAGGAUCUGCUGCUUGCGCUGGCCUUAAAGAUGGAAAUUAACUUUGAAACAACAAAGACAGCAAUGAUUUGCCUCAAGGCUUCUGAGUUACUUGAGUUAUUACAUGAAUCGUUUCAGCUCUAUGGGCCGGCAUAUGGAUAACAUUCUGCAAUACCCGCUAAGUAUGCUAAAAGCUAACAAACAUGGAGAAUAAUUCUGGACUCAGAUUACAGAUUUGACAAAUGUUAUCACAAAAAGUUCAAAUAAUUAAAAUCAAGUCUCACGGAUUAUCACUUUAUGAACCAUAAAAAAGGUGAGACAUAAAAAUGCAUGUUGUAAAGAAAACACCUUUUUUACAUGUCAGAAAAUCUAGGGGCCAAAUCUGAUUCAUUUCAAUCCAAAUUGUGUCCUACUAUUGUGAUAAAAUGUGUUAUUCUGAAGCUUGAAACACUAAUGAGUAAAUCUGGGUCACAUUAGAUCAGAUAAGAUGCUCAAAUGUACUGCCUGCACCACCUCCUGUUCAAACACACAAGCUGUGCUCCACCAUGAGGAUGAUAGGUGUGAAGUUUACAAAAAGAGAGGCAUUACUCGCUUCAUCUAUAAAGACGCAGUUUAUCAAAGAAAAGGAUGUCAAUGAUGUUUAAUUUAAUUGCAACAAAGACUUGAAGGGGUUUUUUCUCUUUACGCGAAGACGUAACAUCAAGAAUGAACGAUUUUGAGGGUAGAAAACAGUGUCUCCCACGGUAACAUUAUUCAUCUAAUCAAACAUGAAAGGAUGUCAUGUGGCUAAACAGCUCUUGUCACUCCUACUUGUAGCCACUGCACGUGUGUGCUGAAAGUGAAUAGAGGAUAAGACAGGAGGCAGAGGAGGGAGAGCAAAGAGAGAACGUUCCCAAAAUACACCAUGGACGAAAAUAUGAUCGUACCCAUACACACACAUUUAGUGCAGACUGGGGUAUAGAAGUGCUUAUAGGCAGAUGUUGAGAACGCCAAACAUGCGAAAAAGCAUGAGCCAGCAUUUUCUGUUUCCAGAGAAAAUUUGUUGGUGAUAAAAAAUUCAGUAUAGGAGCAAAUUGUUGGCCAAGUGACAGCGAAACUGAGAUCCAGAGGAAGCGAGUAUCCCUCAAGUGUUACAAAAGACCUGUGUAAGCUCUCUGCAGUCAGAGCGAGAAAGUGGGGAGAGACAGGAAAAGAAGGCCAGGUGAAAUAGGGUCAGCGCUCUUCCUCAACUGAAUCUUAUGAGGGUUGAUUAUCUGCAGCCCUCACACACAUACACACACACACUCUUUCUUGCAGAGGGUGCGUCUGCAUAUGUAUGUUUCCCUCCUCUCUCUUCCUCUGUUGUGUUAUUCGUGCUGACACACUGUAGCUACUGGCUAUGUGCUUACCCCGUCCUCUUUCCAACUCUUUAGCUGAGGCAGAUCACAGACACUGCUAACAAACACACGGGUACAUAACCAACAUUUAACAUAUCUGUCCCCAGAGCGAGGUUAAAGGCAUAGUAUUAUCCGAUAGAGCAUUGUUCCAUGUCCUCAUGGUGUUUAAUGUAAAUAUGUAUAGCAGUCUGUCUGCUUUAGUUUAGCCUUUGGCUAUCUGGCACAUAAGUAUGAAUACACAGAUCGCUUAUUCUAUGGAAAAAAAAGGGGGCUGUACAGUCUGUUCACAUUAGUCUGAGGGGUUAAGCUGUAAGCCACGGAGCAUGUAUAGAGCUAAUACUACAUCUGUGAAUAGACCCACAUGAGCCAAGAGAUCUACAAAUGAAGACCCAUGAUUGCAAAGGUCAAUAAAUGAUUGUGCAUUCAUUUUUUUUAUUUUUUUUUAAGUACAUACAGAUUUAUACACAGAUCUGCAAAUGCACCUACAGAGCCCACAAAUGUGCAAACAGGUCUGCAAAUAUACAUGCAAAGUCACAAAUGUGCUUGCAGGUUUGUAACCAGAAUAACAUUUGUGUAACAAUAUCUGCAAAUGUCUAUGUCUGAAAUGUCUGAAAUAUUCACAAACACAUGUGCAGAUCCACAAAUUCAUAGAUUUAAACACAGAUAUGCCAUUGCAUGCACGGAUCCUUCAAUGCACUUGCAGUUUAGAAAAUAUGUAAAUGAAUUAGUAAGUUCAUACAAAGAAAGUGAUGACCAAAUAACCUGUGUUUUUGUUACAUUCUUGGCUCCGAAUUUGAAAAAAGCUCCUAAAAAGCUUUUUUAUCCUUUUGAAAUUCCAAAACACACAGACUUGCAUUCUUAAAAUAACCUCUGUCACACUGAUACAGGAGAAAAUUUUUAUGUCUUACUGAGAAUUAUCAAUAAAUAACAUGUUUUUCCUUUGCUUCCCAUCAAAGCUCACGUCUGCAUCAGUUUUCUGAUGGGCAGACGGCAGGGUUUUGAGCAGACGUAUGAAGCCCUCUGCUUUGUUCUCUGUCUCCACCCUGCUGCGGCAGUACCUGGUUGGUGAUCUGAUUUGCAUUGCAAAAGAGGAAAUGCAAAGAAAAACAUGAAAGGUAGCAGACUUUUCAUGCAUUAUAUUAUAGUUUAAAAAAUAAAGCAAUUUGAUGCCAUAUAAACAUCAAUUUAUACAGUAUUUUUCCAGUUGUAAUCUUUGUUCUAUGUUCUUUCAUUCAACAUACAGUUUUUGACAGUAUCUAUAGGUUAAACUGAUGUGUGUUCCUAUCGUACACAGGUUAUAAUGCUGCAGUAGGCAAUCAUGGAAGCUUGGAGCAAGCAUACUUUACAGCAGGAAAGAAGUCACUGGAAUGGAGUGUGAAGAUUGUGCUCUAGUACUUGUUAGCAGCAGAACUCCAAGCCUCCUCUGCACUGAGUGCCCGGGGCAGCUCCUCUAUCCCUGUGUUCCCACAAUCAGCACCAUGGACAGAGUCGUGACACAAUCCAGUGCAGAAUGUUACAAAAGAUAUAGUUCAGCUGGGCAGGGAAGCAGAUUUACAUUAUGUGACACAGUGUGUGGCUCCAGAGUAUGUAGCUGAACUAAUCUACCCUCACUCAUCAUUUCCCUGCUUCAUGUAUAACACACCAAACUGAACUCAGAAGCUCACUUUCUCAAAGUUUGCUGACUGGGUUGAAAACUUUAAACGGUGAAUAAAACUGGACUCACUGCCCAGCAACAUAACAGGAUCAUGCAGAGGCAGCAGCAUAAGCGGAUAGCUGUUAAUUAACUGGUUAGCUUCCAAAACAUGGCAUUGCCUGAUGCUAAAAGGUAUUAUUUUCACCCUGAGAUGAACCACAAUUUCUUGUCAGCUCUAAAUAUUAAAUGAAGCUGUAUUGGAUGUAAUACAAGAGUGUCCAUGCAAAAUGGAGGGCAGUUGGAACUGUAUUUUAGACAAUGCACUAAUGCCACAAGGCAAAUUUCCAUGCCUGAACAGCUCUAUGAACUCAAAGUCUGAGAGCAGGAGUACCAGUCAACAGCACAGCAGUCAGUUUUCCCCUUGCCUAACACCAUGGAUGUAAUGAUAAUGAUAAUACUGCAUCAGAUUUCAAAUAGCACUUUAUCAGAGACCCUCAAAGUGCUUUACAUUAGAUACAUCAUUCAUUCGCUCACACAGUCACACCUUGGUGGUGGUAAACUACCUUACCAGUCACAGCUGCCGUGGGGCAGACUGACGAAAACGUGGCUGCCAGUUUGCGCAUGUGGCCUCUCCAACCACCACCACACAACAGUCACAUUCAUACACCACUGGAGGACACACACUGGGAGCAAGGUGGGUUAAGUGUUUUGCCCAAGGACACAAUCGGGAUAGGGGAGAAUCGAACCUCCAACCUCCCGGUUAUUGGACGACCGCUCUACCUCCUGAGCUACUGCUGCCCCAGAUGGUAUCUUACAGUGUCAGCUGAGGAUGGCAAAGUUGUGACAGAAGGAUUUGUGGAAUACGUGUAUCCCAGCGUCCCAGGUCCACUAAGGUAGAGACUUACAUUUAUGUUAUUUCUUCCAACUUAGAGAACUGCUCAAAAGAAGUGUGCACAAGUGUGUUUAAAACCCUGGAUGUGGACUGGUUGAUCCAAGCUAAGUCUAAGAUAGAAACUUUUUUUUUCUUUUUUAGAGACUUCUGGACACCCUGACCUAGCUGAACAGGCUAAAUUUAAGUUAUUGUUGGUAGAAAUAAAAGGGAUAAUAAGCUAUUUUUGUGUGUGUGUGUGGCAUACGCCGUGUAACUUUGUCUAAGUAAGAUCCCCUUAGUUCUAAGAGCAUAUACUUUAUAAUCAAUAAAAUAAACCCCAUACUAAAGCCGAGAAUACGCCAGUCAAAUACAAUUUUUCAUACGGUUAAGUUCUAACUCUUUAAAUGUUCAUAUUAUAAGUUAUAACCUUUUAUGAUGGCAAUCUCACAGUAGUACAGACAGUAAAAAUAUCACAGUCUUCUUCUAUACUGUUCUAUAAGUAAUACAAGUUCAGGUGUUGUUGAAGGUCUCUUUGCUGCUAACACUUCUCAAAACUUUUGCUACUCAGUUGCCCCGAUGAAAUUUGAAAAAAAAUUGGCAGGACUGUCCCAGCAGAGAGGGCCAAUCCCCUUCUAAUUACCCCGUUCCCUUCCUUCAACGAAUUGCUCACCCACAGAGGAGUAGAGGGGCCCUUUUUUUUUUUUGUGCCUUCUGAGCGUCUGAAAAGGCUUCACCAGAGAGCUCACUUAUGGUAAGACAGGAGCGGAAGUAAGGAAGGAUGUGCUAAAGUGGAACAGACUCCAGCAGAAAAAGGCUGAGACUUCAUGAAAGGUAGUUCCCAUGUGGUUCCACUCAUUCAGUCAGUCGAAAAAUCUCCCAGCAGACUCUGAAAAAUCAUACUUUUUAUAACUAAAAGGAGACAAGCUGUACCAAACCAAGGCUUUCAUCCCAUCUCCUAUUUUUGACGAGGACUAUUUUGAGGGGAUUCUGGAGGUGAUUUUCACUUUUUCUUUUCUCCCCGUGAGCAAUCUUACCUCAGGACAGAACAGGAAAGUAAGCCGGUUGUGAAAAGUUUGACAUAGGUCUGAUGACAAACCCUCCUAAUUUAGCCUUAAGACCAGGCUACGGUUCAGUUAAAGCGAAGAAAAAAAGGCUUGUGAUUUAUAUUUUGGCAGAGCAGCUGCAGACUCACCUCUGCAAAUUUUCAGCUGUAAUUUCUUCCCUCUGCUCCAAUCUAUACGAGCAGCCGAAGCAUGGACAUUUGACCUCAGCCUGAUCACUGCUUCCCAGGUCCGAAUGAAUUAUAGAUGAUGAAAUUUCACAAUGAUUUAGUAAGUGGCAGAUGGGACAGUGGUGCUGGGUCAUAAAGCUGUAAUGAAGUAGAUGCUUUAGACCUUUCUCCAACACCAGUUUCUUCUCACAAGAUUAACGUAGGAGUGUUAAAUAGCCUGAAAUAUGGGGACACAGAUCAUCAUCAGACUUUGAUGAAACCACAGAGUAAAAAAAAAAAAACAGUAAAAAGAAAGAGAGAUCUAUUAAAUCUGAAAAGCAAAGAGGACAGAUGGGGGACAUAUUUUUUCAUGCAUCCACUGCAGUCGUGGAAAUCUCCAAACAUUUCCAGAAGAGAUUUGCUCACCUGAAUUUAAGGUGUUUUUUUACCUGACAGCCCCUAAGUUCGAUACACUUGUAAAAUCAGAGGUGAUUGUGUGAAAGCAGCAGGUAACAGACUAAAAAUUCAGUGUGAAUGAAUCAACGGGGUGAUGACAUUAUUCACAGAGUUAGAUUCAGAUAUCAGUUUGAUGAUUUUUACUGUCGACUUGUGGAUGCAAUUGUAUAUGAUGAAGCAAUUGGUAUUGCAGGACAUGAUAUUUUUGAACCAAUGACACAUAAAAACCUGCUUCUUGCGGUGGAUACUGAAAAAAUAAAAUUAUUAUUAUUAUGAUCUCUAUUUUGAGGUCUAGUGUUGGUCAGAAAACUAUUGCUGUGGGCAGAGUCCUUCUGGAAAAUAUAGUUAGGGUCUUCAUAAAGCUUAUUGGCAGAUAGACACAUGAAGUCCUUGUAGAACUCUCCAGUGAAACAGAGAUGUUAAGGUGUGUCUGAAAAUGCCACUUCAAAGCACUUUAGACACUGUUUUUCUUUCUUUUUAUUUUUAGACAUAAAUGUUUGUGUCCCUAUAGCUCAACAGCAAAAUAGGACAUCUAUCAGUGUCUUCUAAAAUGACCUAAGUGACUUAUGGGAGUUUAUGAGAUGAGAAUCAUUGUCUGGGGUGAAACACUCUCCCCACCUUUCAUUAUAUUCCCUUUUGUGUAAGUAUUGUGGUCUCACACUAUUCUGCCUCUAAUUUAGGUACCUCAACACAAAACUAAUCUCAGGGUCUGUAUCUUUUUAUGUCCCCAAACAUUCUUGAAGGGUCAGUUUCCAAAUCUGAGUUAGGGGUCUAUAUCCAACUGCAUCUCUGUAAAGGACAGAAAAUCAUCACCUGUACCCAAAUCUUGAGAUUUUGUUGGUUAGCUUUCAACUUCUUUAAUGAAUUAGUUUAGACCUGAUGAGCAAAAUCAAGAGAUUGUACCAUAACUCAAGUCCAAAUAGCUGGUAGGAUAAUGUGUAGAGUCUGCAGAUGUGUUUCUCUGUCCAAUCUAAUUCCCACUAGGGCCUUCAUUCUUUAAUACUAUGUCAUUUUUAUAUUCUCCUCUCCCGUCACAUAAUAUAUGUUUGAACUUUUCAAUAUUUCAGCACUCAUCUUUUUACAGGGAUUUAUUAUACACGUCAGUGUCCUUGAAUUUUACCUUUUAUCUCCCUGUUUCAAUACCACCAACAUGUCCAUAGGGUUUGGUUGAAGCAGCUAUAAGGAAGAACAAAAUUACUGAAUAUUAGGAAUCAAAGUUUGGGAAAGUCAGUGUUGGGAAUUCAGGUGUAAGAGCAGAGGCAGGUAAUCCAAGUAACAAUGAAAUCAGACCGGUACAGGACAAUUAGGAUUAUGUAAGGGAAGUAUCUACUGCUCUUAGCUUCUACUGAAACAGUUUAAUUGAAGGAAUGGAUAAUAAUUAAGACUUUAAGGUGAAUCCAUCAAUGAGUGAUCAAUCAUUUUGUGGGUAAAACCAUAAAGUUAUGUAUUAACUCCCUUACAUGUGUGAAGAUGUGUGUGUCAGGGGCAGGGCAGAUAAAGGGGGUGGCAUGGGCACUGCUGGAAAUCUGAGAAGCCACCCAAAAUUUAAACUAUUUGGUCUUUGUUGCAACAGGCUGCAAGUAGCUAUCUCUGCUUUUAAAUGUUUUUUUUUUUUUUUUGGAAAAACUUAAGUUUUUUAUGUCUGUGAUCAACUGCCAUUAAUUAUUGUAAUCAAUCAACAACACUAUUUUUAUGACUUAAUGCUAACUUUACAUUGGGCUUAUUUCCCAAUGUGCAAUUAGAAUAACUCAGUGGGCUCUAUUUUUGUUCCUCGCCAGUGAAGUGGCGCAGGCGCAGCGUAAGUCAGGUCCGCCACGCUGACAAGGCGUGCCCAAGCAUAUUUUGGUGAGCUGCGCAGCGCAGCAUAUGUAUCCAGCCUCACUAACUCGGCUCCUCCCAGCGGCGUAAGCCGUAGGGAGGGAGGGGAUGAGGCGUGGAGCGGAAUGGAAUGAGGCUGUGUUAAUUCGGUCAGGCCGGUCUACCAAAAUACCACAAGACCAGCUGCGCUCUGCCUGUGCUGAAAGCUGACCAGGUUUGAAUCUGCGAGCUUUCAGCGCACUUUUCACGCCUCCGGCAAGCACGAAAAUGUCACUGCGCCAGCUGAUUCUGUCAACACCUCCCCCUACCACGUAUCCACGCUCAGCUUGGUGGACCUCGGCACGCCUCAGUCAACGAAAACACCAAACUGGCUGUGUGCCGGGCUCCGCCAGACGAAAAUACCACUGUGUGGGGUCCGCCACCAAAGGAGAUCCUAUGUAUCCUGCACAGAUAAACAUAUCCAACUAUCCAAGUCCACUCAGCCAGUUUAUCAUUUAUCAAAACUGAAAGAUGUGAUUUUAUAGAAGUUUGGCUGAAUGCAUAUGCCAAGUUUGGUGAGUUUGAGUUGCCAUAAUUGCUUUUGUUGCAUUUGAAGACAGUUCUCAGGCCCUACGUGUCUGACAUUGACUUCCACCAUUAGUGCAUUUUGCAAUAAAGCAUUUCAACUUAAACAUUUCAUUAUACAAUGAAAAACAUCUUGCUGCAGAAAGCGACGGUUCAGACUCUUUCAAAGGACUUCUUUUAAUGCUCAGUCGUAAUGGUUUCACCUUGUCUUCAAGCAUGAACACUUCUUGUAUCUUCUAUCUCAUUUUUUCUUUUUUGUCACUACCCAGAGGUUAUGACCGUAUGAAAUUGAAUCCACUCUGCAAUCUCGUCAACCCCUCUCAUCUUGAUGGUCCAGCACAGGGCAUGCAUAAUUCUGUCCCUGCAGCCUUUUUGCUAAAAUUAUGUCUUUGCAGAGGUACAAGUCGGUGUCUUUGCAGGCCUAUGUAAAAUACUAAGGUAAGGUAAGGCCUCUUAAAUAUUAUCAACAUUUUUCUUGAGUCCUCAUCUCUUUGUUUUCACAGCUGAGACAUGAGCCCAAAAUAGCUAAAUCGAUGGUUUUAAACCUUAAAGGAUUACAUACGACUGAUAAUGUAUCUGAGUUUGAGUUUCCAGAUAAAAAACGAUUGGGGAACUCUUAAACAAACAGCUCCGAGACAAAUGGAAUAUUAAAAAUGCAGCACUGCUCCAAAGAUGGAAAGAGAAGAAGGCUGAAAAGAUGCAGAGCGGAGAGGAAGAAGUAUGUGUGAUGUGAUAAGGAGUGAUUGCUCAGCAACACCAGUCCACACAGGGAGAGAAAAUGGCUGCAAUGAUGAUGUUAUUUAAAAUCACACACUGACACGAGUUCAGAGGAACAAAAAUUAAGAGGGACACUUUCCCUUUCUCACAUAACAGACGAGCUCAUUUCACCCAUCCCUUGUAAAGUCCCCCGCUCUCUUUAUCCCUUUUGCAUUUUUCUUAAAUUUCCCACGGCGGGGCAAGUGUGGGACGCUCGGGAAUUUAGAUGCGUCAGCCAUGGUGAAACCGCCUGAGGAAAUUUGUAAUGAAACUCAUCUCCACACUGGCAGGAUUUGCAGCGACUGCUCAAAUCAGAUUUUUCCACUUGUUUGACACAGGCCUUAUCUCCCUUUUGCUAUCUAAACAGUGAAAAAUCAAAUUCUGCUCCAUUUUAAUCCACACGUAAGGAUGACAUGGCGGCAAAUUAGAUUUUUAACAGGUAGUGAAUAUUCAUCCCUGCCUACAUCAGUAGCCAUUACAGAGAAUCCCAAUUUAUUCUACAUUACACACUCAUAACAGCUCAUGAUAUCCCUCCAUCACUCUGUCGGUCCUCCUUUAUCAUUUCUCCACACUUCACUGAAGGGAAGAAAAGAGAAAGAGAUGCUACACGGCACUCACUUUGGCUUGACAACUUGUUUCACUCGCCCUUUCUUCCUCUCUCUGUUCUUCCUCUGUGUGUACGUCAGACAGAAUUCAUGUACCUGAUCUAUUUAGGAGACCGGGCAACACUGGAGACUAAAGCACUAAGACACAUCCUGCUGGCAAGAGUACCCUGUUUAAAAAGCAGAUACACACACACGCAGCCUGCAAGUAUGCACAAACAUCUGCAAAUCAAAGAGUUUUAUAAAUAUUACGAGUGGCAUAACUGGUUCAUUCAGCUCAUUCUACAUUCUGUGAUCCGGUGUAUCUGAAAUACGAGUUUCAAGGAAGAAAGCCAUGUUGACAUAUUCAGAAUCAAUACAUCAAACAUUUUUAUACAGUGCAGUGGCUCAGGUGUUUUUCUAUGAACAAGGGUCCGACUUACACUUGAGAUCCUUGCAAGAACAAUACAUCAAACUUCACCAACUUAAACCUUUUCAAUCUGAAAUCUGUGGAUGUCUCAGAAGAGGGCUGUCACAAUAUACAGGUGUUGAUGGUAACUGUCUUUAUUUAAAUGUAAAACGUUGGUACUGUGCUAAAAUUAAGCAAAUGGUCCUUUAGGCUGGUUGCUACACCGAAAACCGACAAAAAAGAGAAGGACUGCCUGUGGAGUAGAUUAAAGCAGCUCUUUAUGAGAUAAUUCAGCACAUUUAAAAACAAAAAUGUCAUGUGUUUUUUUUUUUUAAUCCAAACACAACACUUGAGUUUUUGUCUCCUCAGCUUACUAAUUAAAUUCUGUUAUUUUCACAGUUUUCAUUCAGUUCCCUAACUUAAGAUCGUACCAGAAGUAGCUUAAAAUUAAAGCAUACUUUGACUGUAAAGGAAAUAAAACAAUUUAAAUUCACAUAAGAUAAUAUAUCAAAAUAAAAGCAUAAACUUUGAACAGAAUUAGAAAUAGAUAAAAGCAUGUCAGGUAACUGCGUUUGUUAGUAAAAUGUAUGUACUUGUAUAUUUAUAUGUUAUGUUGCUUCACUCUUGUCCUGCCUCUCAGUUUUACUCAGUUUUUUUUUACAGCUUAGAUCAAGAAUGGAAAAGAAAUCCACCUACAAAUCUUUGACGAUUAACGUUCACAGUUCCUCAACUGUUAUUGGGUUGUUUAAAGGAAAGGUGAUGUAACAUAGAGGUAAACCUUAUCCUGUUCCAGCUGUUUUAGAAACCUUUUACAGGCAUCAAAUGCACACUGUCCACUGUGGCAUGUGACACUCGACAGCCAGCAGGAAGGCAAGCUGACUAGGCUUAAAAGAAAAGGAAACUAAACUUGGUUGAGGAAUAAGCAUCCCAAACACCUCUAAUCCAUCCUGGCUACAGAGGACUGCAAAUUAGCUUGUCUUUCAUGUAAUAAGCAAAUGGCCUCUUCAUAAAAUUAGACACACAGGGUAGCUGAAAACUAAAACUCACACAAGUCCUGACCCAAAACUGACCUGAAUAUUGCCUCAGACUUACUCCGUCACAGGCCCGUGUGAAGAAGCGGUUUGCUUCCACUUAACCAAAUCUCCAGGAGCCUUUUAAGUCUGUGUUCCUGUCAGUCUGCUUUUAUACUUUUUACUCUGCCUGUCUAAUUUUCCUCGCCAUUCCUCUUAUGCUACACUAAUUUCUUCUUUCUCCUUGUAGCUGAUUUCAUAACAUCUCUCGUCCUUCUUUCCUCACACACACCACAUACACACACACACACACACACCAAACUCUCUCUCUCACAUACAGAGUUGUUCUUAACCUAGAUAAAACUGCUUAGCCGUGCUUGGCUGGCCCCAUUAUAUAACACCAUCACAGUGCCUUGACUCAGGCCAGCCUCACAGUCAUAGAUGUGGAUUUGUAUUUGUCUGUGUACACAAACAAGCACACCUCCGGUCAUGAGUGAGUUUUCCCUUGUUUACUGCCACCAUGUCAGUUUGUAUCUUACCAAUCUUACUGCAGUGGUGUCUGUGAUUUUGAACCAUGCUAACAGGUCAGCUCGACUGUUAACCUCAGGAUGUACUGGACUAAUUAUCAACUACGAACUUCCCUCCAAUCAUUCGCUCUGACAUUGUUUGAGUUUGUUCAACUAUGGCUGAAAGAUGUCAUGAAAACCGGGCACAAUGUCUGUGGUGUCUGGCUAGCCUCGGCUAACAUGGAUGUAGACCCACCUUUUGAUUGCUGAGGGUUGAUGCCUGGCAGUGUUAUAUUUUAGGAAGUUGACAAGAGUUUGGAGCUCAGACAGACUUUCACCCUACAGGCUGACAGCUGCAGUGCAUCCACCUGUCUGGGUAAUGCAUAUGUAUGUGAAACUCUUACCCCCAAUUUCCACUGCAUCUGGAAGGGCUACGAAAAGGCCGUAUCUGCCGAUCGUAGCUGAUCGUACCCAUUCAAGUCAAUGUGUCAAUUUCCACUGGAUCGCCAGACUCUGCAGCUGAUCACAAGAGUUCAAUUUUUUUCCGGACGCCGGAGCAUGCUGGAUAAAUUCAGCACAGAUUAACCCGUGCUGGAAAGGAAGUCGGGCACAGACACAAAAUAAAACAUCCAGCUUCUUUUCAAAAUAGAAAACUCAGUGUUUCAGGCAGAUUGUAUUUCACACCAUGCAAACGGGUGAAGAUGAACAAGUGAAAGGUUUUUAGAUAGCAUUUCACCAUGGAUGCGGAGAUGCUGAUUGUAGAAGUCUGGAGGUGGAUUUCCUCCUCUGGAAGGACACAAUCCACUGCUUUUAUGGUUAGCCUAUGCAGCCAAGAGACAACUCGUUAUCGCGCGAUAGCACAUGAAUCGGCUGGUUCUUGUGAGUUUUCGCUAUAAUUGUAAUCUGCCACAAAAUUAUCGUCACAAACAGAUCCAAUAGGAAUUGGCAUACAGCAAAAAUUGCCGCUGUUCCGGAUCGGAGUUGUUCAGGAUGCGGUGGAAAUCCUGGGUCAGCCUUUGUAAAAUAAAAACAAAUGUGUCAUUAAAAAGUCAUCCCCUGUCGAAUACAUUUGAAGAAAUCAAGUAGCUGAUUCCUUACAUUUCGAAGCCUGCCUCAUGUGGACAAUCAAGGAACUGCAUUUUUUUUUACACUUUUGCACUAACUUCACUUUCAAAACAGUAGUUUGCUUCUUGAUACCUAGCUAACAUAAAAUAACUGAGUUGGUUUUGUUCCUAUGUUUUGGACAGAACCUUUACAGUACACUCUUUUCCUACUCCUCUCAUGCGCCACAAGGUUUGAUUUUAGGUCCACUUUUAUUUUCUUUUUAUUUGCUCCCUCAUCAUUUAUCACCGCAAUGUAUCUUUUCAUUUUCAUGCAGACGACCUGGUGAUCCAAGAACAUUUUGCAGUAAACAUGCAGAAUUAUUAAAACUUAAGCAGAACAAAGCUAAGAAAACAAGCCAUGGAAAAUAGUAGCACCUGCUCACCAGCCUGUAGUUACAAAUACAAAGUCAAAGCACAUAUUUUUUGGGUGAUGUGUGCCUUUGUUAAGUCUGUCAGAAUUUAUUUUCAUAUUAUUUUGUGUGUGUUUGAAUAUCUGUGCUGUCAGGAGUCUGAAAUGGUGAGAAUAGAUGAAUUUCCAGCGCUAACAGGCAAAAAGAAAUAACAGAAGUAUCAUUGGAGAGUAAGACGGACCCAGAUGGCGCAUGUUUGUCUAUAAUAUCACAGAAGAAUGAGACAGAGAGACAAAAAUAAAGGAAAAGAAGGAAAGACAUGAAAGUAAGGGGAAGUUUUGUUGUGGUGAAAGUAAAGUGUGCGUAUGUGUGUGUUAGCAUGCUCUGGAUGGCUGUCCCAGAUACCCAAAUAAGUCCCCUCUCAUAAUUCUACAUCUCAACUGCUUAAGUCAGCAGGGAUGAGACACACAUGAGCACACAAAAACACACACUCAUGCACAUGAUCACCUUAGCUUCAUCAUCUGCUGCUCGCAUCUCGGCCCGUUCUACUGGGAGGGAUGAACGCACUCUCGCUAAGUGAGAGAUGUACACUUUGUGCGGCUCUGUAUAAGUGUGAGUGUGUUACAUUCUGUCGAGGCAGACUGAUCCACAGCGUGCUGUCUUUGAUUGUGUUAUUUAAGCGCUGUGAUUCUCCACAAGCAAACAUUUCACACACACACACCCGAAUGCACACAGAGCUAAUUAACGUCUCAGUCUCCCUGUGGUACGCCGCAAUCAAGCCACAUAUUUUUAAUCAAACAUGACUGCUCAGCUAGCUGCACACCUGCACUGCACCCUUUCAUAUCCACCAUCGCACACACACAUCCAUACACACACAUACACACACACACACAUUUAGGUACACAUUUACUCAGUGAACCGAAACCAUAUGAGCUACAAGUUUAGCAACAAGUACAUAUGGUGAAGCAGUAAUUAGCCUGAUAGCUAAUUAGCCUCUAGCCCUGGCGUGCUCAUUUAUCCCCGUUUGCGGGGGUGAUUUGUUGUGAUGGGAACACAAGGGUAGGAAAAAAAUUAUUAGGAUAGUCACAUGAUGCCAUCUGCUUUUCACUGAGUCAAUCGAAUACAAAGUUGAGAGAUGUUGGUACAGCGACACCAUGUGAAUGUUAACUAUGCAGAACUAAGGUCUUCUUACAUCUACACCUCUAUUCAUCUUUUAUUUAACAUCAAUGUUGGAAAAAUGACUUACAAUCAGUAAAAAGUUACAAUUACUAGUUCCUCUUUGAAAAAAUGUACUCAAAUUACUGAGGAGCUACAUUGAUGGGGUAAUUUUUACCUGGGAGAGCCACUGUAGCGUGACUUCUUUUUGCUUCAUACUCUAAUUAACGUCCCCAGCCUCUCCUCUGCCGGCAUUUCAGUAAUUAGUUCUCUGAAAACAGCAGACUCGACAGUCGACUUGGAAAGCUUAUCAAGCCUCCUCCUUGGUCCAACGUGAGCUGCACCUAGGUCGCUGGUGGAUAACUACCUUUCAUGCAUUAGAAUUAGAGACACCAUGUGCUCCAUGGGGCUGAAACCACGAUGGUAAAUAGUAAAGCGGAGUGAGCUCUGUUUUGACUUAAAUGUAUAUUAUCUACUGUCUUCUAAACUGAAAUAAAUGAAGUAAAAAUAAUUUGUUAGAUUAAAGGUGGGGUAGACAGGAUUACGUUAAGCUUUUUUUUUUGUGGUGAAUAUACAAAAAACUUUUAAUAUCAGUCAAUAGCUAUUAGUUAUUGAUGACAUUUGGGAAUAUGAUGUUAUCGCUGUGUUUUGUUAUGUCUGUGAAGUCAACAUUUUAAUCUUUUUGAGCAGCCCAUUCUUUCUGACUGUAAACAAAGCCAUUCUCCGCCUCCCCCAACCCGGUUGGUUGCGAGGCGGAUCUUGAUCACUUGUGCUGAUUGGUUGUGAGGCAGAUGCUGCUCCCUCAUAUUGUGAGGCACGCUCCACGUCCACUAAUAAUGUGCGCAAGCUCAAACAAAGUUAGCGCACUACAAUAUCAGACAGUAGAAACCAACCACAAAGUAAAGAGAAAUGUCUGAAUCUCGAGAAAGCUAGGGUGGUUGAACAACAGACCUGCAAAAACUUGAGUUGUGUCCUAAUCCAGGGGUUGCAGCCUUUGAAGGACUUAGUCAUUGAGACCUUCAUAGACCAGUCAGGCCAAACUGAAUUAAGUCGAUCUACUUUUUGGGGGUUUGGAUGUUUGCGUCACAAUUGUAUUAUUGCGCAAAGAGUCACAGGAUAAGUGAGGCCAUGAAGGAUGCACCUGCUGCAGCAACACACUUUUUUAUGACACAAUAAAACUGAGUGUCUAUUGGGACAGAGGGACCAGAGGGACUGAUAAUUUUUUCUUUGUCUCCAUACACAAUGCCACAGCAGGGUUGUGAUUUCAGGAUGUUAGAUUGCUCAUUCCUGUCCCCCUAUGUACCCGAAUACUGCACAGGGGCAAAUACUCCUGACCACAAAAGUCACUUUGGUGCUUUUGAAUCACUUUGUCCAGGGCACAAGCGAACCUUUCACCUGGCCUGGUAACCCACUUGGGAUGUUGCUUUUAAAUGAAAGCUUCCGUAACGCCAGAAAGCAAAAAAAAAAAAAAAAAAAAAAAAAAAAACACCUCUGUCUGAUGUGCUGUUCAUGCUGCUGACCUGAAGCCUUUCUAUUGCCUUAAAUCAAGCGUCUAAGUGGGCAAUCCUGUCAGUAAGGUCAGAGAGUUGUGAGCUGCCAAACUGUCAGGGUGACAGCAACCAUUCACCCUGUUUUAAUGUCACUUAGCAAAAUCUGCCCGGGGAUACUGAAGCUGUGCGUAACAGACAGUUUGAUCUUGAAAUUAAUUCAGUCAUUUAUACUGAAAUGAAAUGAACAACGGGGGGUGUAAUUAUAAAAGAAAGACUACAAUUGACAGAAGAUGAAAAACAAAAUAAGGACUACAUGGAGGGAACAAAAGCCAGUGUUUUUCAUUCCUGUCUCACUGCUGUGUACUCAACUGAGCUUGGCUCAAAGACCAAAGCAAUUAAUUACCUGCAGGCACAUUACGGACACCUGCAAUGAUUUAUGGGGCCUUUUAUGGAGAUGCACAACACUGAUAGGUCAAACACAGGAUAAGAGGAAUCAACUCUGAGGCACGGUACAGAUGAGUUAAAAGUACAAAAUCCCCCCAAAAGCCCUGAAAACUUUGAUUUUAUUUAAUGUGCUUUGCAAAGCUGCAGCCUGCCCCCCUGUAGAAAAAUCAGCCUGGGAAAGUGCACACACACACACACACUCUCUCUCUCUCUCUCUCUCUCUCUCUCUCUCUCUCUCAUAUACACAGAUGUUAGCCUACAUUGGGCUGUUGUUGCGUGUUUUGUUACUUUUGCCCAUGGGCUCUUUUCUCCCUCUGUUCCCUUCAUCCCCAGCAGAGAGAGAGAGAGAGAGACAGAGACAGAGGAAAAAUAUAGCAAAAAGUCAUUGUUGUAUCUUUAUGUAGAGCAGAACUUCACUGUGUCUACUAUGCCUGCGUGAGAGAUUUUGUCUGCCAGACGACAAGACAAUAGAUGCUCAUGCGAUAAAAUGACGCCCAGGUGGUUUCAAAUCCACGCACUCACUUCGGCUUUUACAAGGUUUGAGAUUUAGCAAGAAACUGGAGCAAAUAGCACUGAUUCAGCAUGCUCCUCAAGGACAGUUAAAGGAGGACACAUGCCUGAUGGUGGAAACAGUGGUUAUCUUUCCCGAGGCUCAUAUCAUCCUGUUAGAAGGAUGAUAGGUGCAAUCAGGAGCAGGUUCCUCAACCUUGGAAGCCACCGGCGAUUGACUGGCACCAUUAGGCGUGUAUAGCCUGUAGUAGUAGCUAUUCGCCAGUAUUGGAAGGAGUCCUUACAGAGAAGACUUUAUUUUAAAUGCACUGCUACUCAUUUUUCAACUAGACCAUGAUCUUUAGAAAUGAAACUGACAAAGUGAAGAGGUAAAGUUAAAAACCAGAUUGUAUCAGAUUGCUGAGCUGACAGACAAAUGUAUGUUUAUUUAAGUCUAGAAAAGUGGACUGGGCGAGGUUUCAAUUAUCAGGAGAAGUUAUCAUGUGCGUGGAGCAGGUGUGCUCUCUACCUUUAAGAAAAGACUGAAGACUUCCCUUUUUAAUCAAGCUCAUAAUUAGAGCGGGUUAAGGCCAGGACCAGCUCUUGGUUAUGCUGCUAGAGGUUUGGAUCCCCAGAGGAAUUAUCACAUCAAGCACUUUUCCCUCCUUUUCUGUCUGUGUUAUUAACUUUCGAUCAUCAUGUCCUAUUAGAGUCAGUGACACCAAGGGCUCUAUUUUGGUGCCUCGCCGGAGACGUGCCGCAAGCCCAGCGUCAGUCAGAUCCGCCGCGCUGACAAGGCGUUCCCAAGCACAUUUUGGUAUUUUGGUGAGCCGCGCAGCCCGGUGUAAGUAUCCCCCCUCCCUAACUCAGCUCCUCCCAGCACCAUAAGUCGUAGACGGGGAGGAGAAAGGGCGUGUAGUUGGUUUAACACAGCCGAGACCUGUUUUCACCAAUCACAUAGGCUCCUCUCCUUGCCUUUAAAUCCGCCACCGGCGAGGCGUAUUACUAUUUUCAUGAAGUAGUCAAAGAGAUCAAGAGAUGUCUUAAGACAGUUAAUGCCACACGAUGGCGACAGAGGGCAGCUGCCUCAACAAGUGUCCUCCACACUCUCUCAUCUGAGCACAGAUAGAUUUAGUGUGCGUAAUGUUGGACCCACUGGUAAGACAAACACCCGUUUCCACAAAUAAAGACACUCACAUAAAGUUGCUCAUAUUCAAACCUCACGUGACAAAGGUGGGUUUAGCGCACAGAUCACAACAUAAACUCCAAAACUGGCAUUAAAAUCGGAACCAUCUGUGCGUAAAUGACGCAUCGCGCUCCGUGGCCUGGCUCUUUCUUUCAUAGAUGUUGGCAUAUAAAAUAAAUUUGGCUCACAAAACUGAAUAUUAUAAUAUCCGUAUGUCGGCUUAAAGUAGAUAACGCAUCUGAGCACUGAAACAAAUCAUCUGUUCAGCUGCAGCAGCAGCAAGACGGACAGAGGACACGGAGACGUGUCCAGGUCGAGCUGUGCGAGAAAUAAGAGGAAGAGGAAGAAAGAAAAGGAGGGAGACGAAUUACAUAUCUUGUUAACUUCAUCAUGUGUGUUUAUUUACUAUAUAUUUAAUUUAAUUUGAUGCGGUUUCAGCUGUGUUGAUUCGGUCAGGUUGUGUGUCCAAACGCGUGCCAAACGCGCUCAUCAGAUCAGAUAUAGAUCAGAAUAUAUCGAUAUAGAUCUAAAUGUAUGUGCUGACUCAGAUUAAUAGUUGUUGAUGAUUAUUUAUUGCGCUGAAAUGUGCCUGACACUGUGGAAACCUGCCGGUGAGGCAUCAGUGACGUAUGUCGAUACGCCGCCGGUCUACCAAAAUACUACAAGACCAGCUGCGUUCCGCCUUGCGCUGAAAGCUGACCAGGUUUGAAUCGGCGAGCUUUCAGCGCACUUUACACGCCGUUGGCGAGCACGAAAAUGUCACUGCGCCAGCUGAUUCUGUCGACACCUCCCCCUGCCACGCCACCACGCCCAGCUUGGCGGAUCUCGGCUCGCCUCCGUGCGGCUCAUGCCACGAAAAUACCAAACUGGCCUUACGCUGGGCUCCGCCAGACGAAAAUACAACUGCGCGGGGCUCGCCGCCCUCCGCCGCCUCACCGGCGCGCACGAAAAUAGAGCCCCAAGUCUUCAUCCUGUAGGUUUCUCUGGAUUGCUGCUGCAGACGUUUUGCUCCAUCAGUCUCACCUCUGUCCAUCUAUCUCUUUCUGCAUCUACCUCUAUUCCCUCUCAGUAGAAGCAGAUGACUGGGUCCUGUCCAAUCCUAUUAGGAUUCCAUUUCACGUAAUCACCCUUUUACUUCACAUUAUCCCAUUUUCAGACAUUUCUCAAGGCUAAAUUGUCCCCAGAUGACUGUCUGUUGGUUGUAGGAACCUGUUUUACUUCCCACACUCUACAACCAUAGCUUACAGCAAAACAAGAGGACUAACUGCUUAGGCUGGAGCUGAACAGGAACUAAAGCACUUUAGACACCAAAAUCUGCUCCAGUGUUUACAAACUGGAAGUCUACAGAGCACUUUUGCACCAGAUUUUGGCAGCAGACAUAAAGACAUAAAAAGUCAGGGGACUAUAUGAAUGAAAGAGGCAUCAAGUCUAUGUUUCUGCUUGAACUAAAGCUAAACUUCAAUGGUGAGAUUUUGCUGCACCACGUUGGAAAAAAAAACCCCACUGCUCUCCACAAAACAUAUCAUGCAAGGCAAUAUCUUUUGCUGGGUUGCUCUUCUGAGUGGGGUAUCACUUUGUAAAACAAACAUUUGGAAGUUCACCCAUGGGCUAUCCAUCUUGGCUUAUGUAAGUGAUAAACUUAUGUUACCAGACGAUCUUGAAUUCAAUGUUUUGUACCAGACGACUCCAUUUGGAAUACUAAAAUAAUAAAGGUAAGAAACUGGAAGAUAUCCCAGACGACUAGAAACAUUACAGAAACAGAAGUGGAACAAUUCCAGCUCAGUUAUUAAAAAAUAGAUUCUACAUUUAAUAAAGGCUAAAACGGUUGAGUGAAAGUUAACAAGGUGAAAGUAAAAAUAAAAAAAAAGAGAAAUAUUCAAAGCUGCGAGCACAGAGCAUAUUUCCUGAUUUGUGUCCCACAUGGGCUGUUACAGGCUAAUGAAAUCCCAGGUGAAAGACCGUGGUAUAACAUGACAAAUGAAAAGGUCUGUAAGUGUGUUGGAGGUGACAGAGAGAAGGUUAAAGUCAAUCUGUGAGGUUUUAAAGCUCUUAGUGAUAUUACACCCAAAGGGCUGUAAUCACACAGCCAGAACAGAUCAAUACGAUCACAUUGCAGCCACAAAGUGUAUGAGGCAGCAGUAGUUUGAUACGCAUAGAGCCAGGCUUCACAAGGUAAAUGUAGAGAGAUCUGUCUUCCUUUUGUGCAUUCCAAUGAAAAAAGAAGCACAAUUGAAUUAAAUCUGAUUUAUGUUAAAUUUUCCACAUCUGGAAUUGGAGUAUUAACUCAUUCAGUGCCAGGUUCAUUUAUGCAAUUUUCAUCCAGUGAUGUGAACCACACAGACUGCUCGCAUCCUUCUCGCCGGGACUGUCGCUGAAUUCCAGCUCAGUCUCGCUCAAAAGUAACGGCACCGGCGGCACAAUGACACACUGGAAAAUUGUUUCUUUGAUUGUCUGCUGACUAAAGUCCAGUACCAGGAUCUCCAAUGGAUUCAGAGACGGUAGCACAGCGCCCACGGGAGCCGAUGCGCCGAGACCAUUCGCUCUUAGGUGAAAACUUUGGCAUUUUCCUACUCUCCUCAUAGAGAAAAAAACACUCAAUAACCAGGCUAAAUGGCACACUUGAUGGCACACUUCUCACUGGCAAGUACUUGUUUUUGUUAUUGUAACAUGGUUAUGAAGUUUUUGUCAGCUCUUCUGCGUUCAGAAUGACUCCAAACUUCGUCGCAUGUUGGGGAGUUUUCCUCUGGCGGAAAACAAAAAAAACCCUGAAAAAUCUGUCAUAAUCUCUUAAUGGUACUCAAAUAAAAAUAUCUGUUCAAAUCAGUCAUUGACACUGAAUGAGUUAGCCGAUGGAGCUACUGGGCCCAAACAAUCUCUGUUAGGGUGAGUGUGUAGAACGCCAAAGCAGAGAGGGCACACCUCUCCUCUACUGCAUGUGCAUAGAUGAAAUGACACUGGUUAAACCAGACACAGUGUAAAAAGGAGGAGCUGAGGUGGAGGUAGUUUGUAAAGUGGUUGGCAGGGGGAGCAGCCUGUUUCGAUAAUUGCAGAGAAGUGAAGUAGCUGAGCUGUCAGCUGACAUUGGCUGGCUAAGGACCAAUGGACGCACUUUGGGCUGAUCCUAACCUGAACUUACACUAUCAUAUCCAAACUGUUAGAUGUCUUGAAAACUUUGAAAUACGGGGAAGAUUUUCAAAUGACAAACACACAGAAACACAUAAUUCACACCCUCUACAGAAGGCAAAUGUCAAGCCAUGCUCAUUGUGACUUUCACAAUCAAGAUUUCCCUGGUGGUGAAUUAAACUGAUGGAAUUAUUUGAAACAAGAAAACCAGCUCCCAUCAACACACGCAUACCAAGACACACAGUUCAAAAUGGCCUGUGCUCAGCGACAAAAGACUCAACUGACUUUAUUACUAAAACUGUAGCUGAAGAUCCACACAGUUUAGCAGUAUAAAAGGAUGUUCUCCUUAAAGUUUCUGUCUGAAAUGAAAGUUUAAAACUCAUCUGCUUUGGUCCCAAAAAAAGAUUUGUGGAUAAUUUCUCCCUGAACUUAACUUCUUAACACAGUUUCAGUGUCUCAUAACAUAUUGAAACUUUGUGCAUCUACCACAAAAGCAUUAGAGGCUACAAUGAACAUACUUGUGAACCAAGAGUAGCAAGAUUUACAGUAUAUGCAUUUUGGAGCUCGUUCUGAUGUUGGAUUUAUACAGUGUCUGCUUUAAACUUGUAAAAUGAAUCAUUUUUUAAAGUUUCCACACAGUGGUAAAAGGCUACAUACUCCUGUCCUUUUCACUUCCUCCCUUACUUGUUUUACUCAUCCCUCUAAGCUUCCUUCCUCCCUCCAUUAGCUGACAUCAACAAGCUGUCAUAAAUUCUUAGUGAGUAGCAUCACAAAUCCAUUAACAUAAACAAUGCAAAGCAUCUUAUCCCCACAUCCAUUUCUGUCUAUGCUCUCUGGUCCUCUGUCUUUCAUCUCCUGUUAUCAUCAUUCUUUGUUGAGUCCUUCAUCAGAAUCCAUUAAUGUCCUUCAACCCAAACUGCCGGCAGUUAAUGUUGACAAAAACAAACACAGUGUUCGUAAUGUGUUUUUUGAAAAUAACACAAUAAAGCUUUCAGAAGUUUCUCAUCCCCGCCAUUCGUUGGGCGGUGGUCAUUUUCUCAUGAAGGAAAAAGUCCUAAAGUUUGUGUCUGUAUCUAUGACCCCAUUCAGAGGAGGUAUCCUUUGAAUCACCCAGCUCACAGAGGAUGCAACCAACAAAGGAUCCGGUCUACAAAGGACCUGGUCUACGAUGAAUCUAGCCUAUGAGGGAGCAACACCAUAAAGGAUACAGGCCACUAAGACUUAAUCCUGCAAAAGACCAACAGCAUAGCUGCAGUCAUGGAACCUAGUAUCCUUCACCAUCAUUUCAACAAUAGUUUCCAUCUGUUUUUACCACAUUUUAACCACAGUGGGUAUUAAACAUUGGCGUGAUCUCUAUGGCGUUGUCAAGUAAAGAUGUGGAGCUGAGGUGGGACUUUGGACUCAUUAUAACUUAUGGAUGCAAUAAAGAUGGACUCAAGUACAUUAAUAAAUAGUCGAGUUACAUACACCAAAACUCUUUACUGAUCUAGGCUACUUGAUUUAAAGGCAGUAUCCAUAUUCUCUUGUUUAACUGGCUUAAUGGGGUCAUUGUGGUUCCAAUUAAAGAAAUAUAUAAGAUCUAGUCUUGACCUGUUUAUUCAACAGUUUAUGUGAAGGGCAUUGAAACUUUAUGGUUGUCAAAUAAAGUGUGCAUCUAUUAAAACCACUUGUUUUAACCAAUCAAAAGAGCAACUAAAUUUCCACUUGCAUAAUUCCUGACAUUACAUAAACAUUCAAUGAUUUUUGUUGCACAAUAGACUACAGACUUUCUCUUCCCCACUUAAAAUUAGAUCUCUUUAUUUUAUUUUAAAAUAUCUAUAUUUUUUGGCCUUUAGCUAUUUAUCAAUCAUGUGAAAGCAAAUGGUGAAUGCAGCAAAGGAGAUGAAAACCAUUGGUGGACUUCUAACCCUGAACCCAAUGGACCAUUGAGUUCUUGCCAAUAAUAUACAAAAGCCCACUAACAUCACUAAGUUGCAGAAUGAGUCAAAAUGUGGGCAGAAGAAGUUAUUAAAACAAAGAGGACUUCAUCAACUUGGAUGGUUCGAAAUAAAUUACUCCACCCAUUUCACGAAAAAACGACCCUUCAAUAUUUCAACCCUCGCCCAUCGUAUUUCAAAAAGAAGCGUGUCCAUUAAUUUAUAAUAGCAUCCUCCAUGGCAUUUCAUCGUACUGCGUCCUUGCAAUCAAAUCAUGUGCCUUUAAAGCACACGUGAUGAAAUAACUAGUAAUAUCCGAUUUCAGAAGACGUGUAACGGCAUUCACCCUUCAAAGGCUUCUCUGAAGGCGAGGCUCUUUUGUGUGAGGAGACCAUUGAUAGGAAGGUAUAUUGAGCUAAAGCACACUACUUUGAUCCCUUUUUUCCUCCUUAAUAAUCAGACCCACUUCUCCUUCCCUGGGCUCCUUUAAAGUAGUUGAGAAUAAUUAUGAGUUUAGUUGGCAAGGCUGUGAGUGUAUGUGUGUGUGUGUGUGUGUCGGAAAAGGUAAGACGAGUUUAAAGAUCCCCACCGGAUGGAUUCAUGUGGUCCAAAAAUGGCUUUUGAUACAAAAUUCUAUCAGUGAAGACCACAAAGUGAGGAUGGACACACUCGUACACACACGAGCACUGGAGGCCAAGGGGGACCUGACUGUGCCAAUUGUUUGUCUCCCAGAAUCAAAUGGGAGGCGAUUUUCAGAGGACUAAAGGGCAGAGUGGAAAAUGACAAAAUAAACGAGUGCUCUUUUCUCCAUCUUCUUUUUCUUUCAUGUGCUGCCCGGCAGAAGAGGAAUGAUCUGCCAUGGCCUUUUUGUCAAGCUGGCUGACACAAACACACAGCAGACCCUCACCACACCGAAGUCUCCGUGUAAUCUGAUGAAUGACACCCCAUUUCAAUUACUGCCCCUCCCCCUAACCCCUGGCUAUCUCUCUCAGCACAUACACACCCUCCAACUCUCCUCAGAAAC